GAAUGGAUGUACGCGCGAGUUUCGUUCUGUCAUGGAUAUUAUCGGACGGUGUGUCAUAGCUUUGUCCGAGCAUCGUCGUCGCGCUCGUCUACGUGCUCGUCGUCAUCGACGUCGUCGGCGUCGUCGUCGUUCUUAUUGUUAAAGACUCAUAGCGCCUCCACGGGGCGUUUACGCGAUCCACACGAAAUUCACGAUUCUGCUUUCGUGCUUGUCUUUUUUUUUUUUUUUCUGUUUUUUUCUUAUCUGCACCGAGUGGCUGCAUCGAGUGAAACAGACGGAAAGAACGUCGGCAGGAGGGAGGGGAGAGAGAGAGAGAGAGAGAGCGCGAGAGGCUUCUCCGUGAUUUCGUUCCAUCGUCCACGUGCUUUCGCGGCUUAAGCAAGAGAUUCUCAAGUGACGGGUGCGGCGGUGAAAGAGUGGAAAGGGAAAGAGGGGGUUUGGCUUGAUCUCUCUCUCUUUCUCUUUCUCUCUCUUUCUAUGCCGGAAGGUGGGGUAAGAGUGGGGGGAGAGCCAGUACCGCCGUCGACCUUAGGAGUUGAGCGGUCGUUUCGUUGCAUCGCGUUUAGUGCGUGUCCGUCAGUGCGCGAGUCAAUGACGACGUCGUGAACGCGCGAGACCGCGCGUGCUCGUGCGACGACGCGCGUUUCCCGCGACGUCGAGAGAGAGAGAGAGAGAGAGAGAGAGAGAAAAGAGAGAGAGAGAGAGAGAGAGAGAGAGAGAGAGAGAGCAGAGAAGAUAAAGAAAAAAAGGUGGGGAAUCGCGGAGAGAAGAAUAAAGGAAACCAAGAACGCCGCGAAGCAUCCAUCGAAUCGUUUUUGAUCACACGGCACGUUUGCGUGCCCAAAUUCACACGCAUAUAGACACACACAUAGAACGAACGGAUAAGGUGCACUUCGUUCACUCCUACGUUUAUUCUCGAGGAUAUUAGAAUUCGUCUUGCUUGGUGUUUUUCGAAUAAUCUCUUUUAAGAGCGUGACACGUUUAGAGGAAGCCCAGGCGGGAAUUUCAAAAGGCGCCAAAGUGAUUCGAAACGUAGGUUAGGGGGCGAUACUUUCGGGUUAAGGGGGUCCGCGAAAGUGACGCGAAGUUGUCGCGAAUCCCGAGGAGGGUGUUAAGACGGUCAAAGGAUAGCGACGGAGAUCGAUAGAAAAUCUAAGAAAAUAGAAAAAAGGCAAAAACUUUGAGGAGCGAAACGAGUAAAUGGAACGAUGUCGUUGCUAGUGUUGCUAUUUUUAUCGGCCGAUAAUAAUCGUCGUCCUCGUCGUCGAUAAGUCGUCGUGCUCGCGUCAGUGUGUCGCGAUGUCGAGCGGCACGACGGGCGUCGUGCGUGCUACCGGCGCCGAGUGCAGGAAGUUCGCACCAAACAUAUUCAACAAGAGCAAGUGCAGCAGCUGCUUCAAGCAGAAAGAGGAGCACAGUGCGGAGGCUCUGGAAUGCAAUAGGGCUACAAGAAAGAUUUCAAAAUGUGGAUACCUCUUCGUCGCACCCGGCUGGGACUUUUCGAAUCCUCUCAACCGUACAAAGAGAUGGCAAAGAAGAUGGUUCGUCCUUUACGACGACGGAGAGUUGACUUAUUCGGUCGACGAGCACCCAGAAACUGUGCCACAAGCACGGAUCGACAUGACACGAGUCCUGGAGGUCGCAGCCGCGGAGGAUAUCACCGGGCAUCCCUAUAGCCUGGCCGUGACCUCGCCCGAAGGCGUGACGUUCGUUAAGGGCACGUGUCGAGAGGAAACGAGAUGGUGGGCCGACGUUCUCCAGGUGUAUUCGCGAAACAAAGGUCGACACAAACGAAACGCCACGUUUCCUGGCAGCCAAACGACGAUCCUCCAAGUUACACCGGCGAUUCGAAGUAACACGCCGAAUCCACCUCGACCGCGCUUCAAUAGCUGCCGAUCAGAACCUCGAAGCAAUGCCAUGUGGAUUACGGAAACAACUAGCGGCUCGUCGGAACUUUGCUCUUCCGUAUUUUCGUCGACACCUUCUUCGGUCACUACCAGCGUGUCGACGAUGACGAGUUGCUCGACGAAUUCUCUUCUGAGUAAUGGUAACGUGGACAGCAACAACGUUUCGCCACUGCGAAGCAGUACUCCUUUGGAGAACGGUACGAACGGCCCUUAUUUAACGUCGUCUUCGUCGUCGUCGUCGUCGUCGUCGUCGUCGUCGUCGGCAGCAGCCACGUCGGUUUCCAUGAACGGAAACGUCGUAUCCGUGAGCACGGCUUACACGACGACACCAACGAGCACCGUCGUCGUGUCCGCCUCGAAUACGACGAUCUCGAGCACGUUGUCCAGCAGCGGUUCUAGCACGACUUUAACCGAGAAACCACCAAUGAUACCAAGCGAAGUUAGAUCAAUGUACAGGGAUCAACCCGCCAGUGGAUCGUCUCCGCCCACUAGAGACAAAUUGUGCGCCGAAGACAAGGCUAGACGUAGGUCGAAUCAUCAACAGGGAGAACAUGGAUCCAAUGAGAAGUUAGAUGACGACGCUUGUCGAAGAAUAUUCUUAGAACACGAGAGAGAACGGGAAGGUAAAUUACGGGAUAUUGCCGCAUCAUUGACUCAACCGCGAAUUCGCAGAAUCAAGCCUAGAAACUCCGAGCCAACGAGGGACGUAGUCGAUGCCUCUAAUGCGGUUCAUCGAGACAAACUCGUAAGGGGCGAUCCCGAUGGUUGCGGAUUAGAUAUUUCCAGCAUUAGAUAUUCGCCUACCUCCGAAUUGAGGGUCGAUUUACCGGCGGAAAAUGUACUAAACAUUAAGAAGGGUUGGCUAAUGAAGCAAGGUUUAAAUAAGGAGUGGAACAAGCAUUGGUUCGUUUUACGAGGUUGUGGCCUGAUGUACUAUAGAGAUCCUUGCGCGGAGGACAAGGGCAUCAUGGAUGGCGUUAUAGACUUGAAUACCGUUACUGCGGUUACGCCGUUGCAGGUCGCAAGAAAUUAUGGAUUUCAAACCGUGGCCUGGGACGAAAGAGGUAGCACCGUCUUAUCCGCGGUGACGGCCGGCAUUAGAUCCAGCUGGAUGUCGGCUAUUAGAAGAGCGGCUAAUCUGCCCGAUCCCGAUAGCAAUGGGGAGUCGUUGCCGAUAUGCUCGGACAAUCAACAGGAUAUUAAUUCUCAAUCACCGACAACGUCCAUCAACGAUCGCGAAAGGGAUCCCGUAAUUCCUCCGACGUCGAAUACGCCUCGAUCGGUCCUAUUUUCCUCCGACGAAGAAUACAGAACUGCAUCGGAGGGCGGACGAAGAGAAUCCGGUGACUGGUCGGAAAUUCCGGUUUCGCCGCCUCUUAUUAGAAACGGCGAUUGGUCUUUACCUUUGAAAGGAUCAAACUGGUCCGACACGACGAAUCACGAGUGGUCGGAAUUACCACCGUCGCCGCCAUUGACGAGAACGGCUCUAUCGAGGGUUAAAGCGAGAUCGAGGUCCAGUUCGAGAUCACGCGUUUACAAGAGGAGUCGUAGCUCACCCCCGAGUUCCCGACGAAGCACCCUGGACAGCGUAAGAUCGGAGGACCUUAUGAUGGCCUGCUGCGAGUUAGGAGAAGACGAGGAGCAAAGCAAUGGGCACGUUCAAAGCAAUAGCCGUCUCUCCGGUUCGAACGACAGUCCCUUGAUCGUCGAACUCUUGGAGAAUCAAGUUUCCCUAUUACGCGAUCAACUCGAUCACAAUCAGUCCCAUCCAAGCGCACUGCUAGUCAUCGUCGAGCGUCAAGAAAAUGAGAUAGAGAAAUUAAAGUCACAAUUGAGUACAGCGCGAUUGGACGUGGCCAACGCCGAGAAAGAAUUAUCAAGAUUGAGACAGCAAAAGGCAGAGGCGGUGAUCAGGGAAAAACAGGUGGAAGAAUUACUCGGUACGAUACAGAGAACGGAACAACAAAGGAACAAGGAUCUCGACGAUUUGGAAAAAUUGAAAAAAGUUUAUACGAGGGAGAAGGAGAUACUAGAAUGCAAAUUAUUGGAAACCGAGGCUAUUCUUAGAGAGACGAGCGAACGAUGCGAGAUGCUUACGAACGAGUUGACUUCGAGUCACAGAAACGUCCAACGUUUGCAGGAAGAGGUGCAGGCACUUGGCGAAAGACUCUCUCAAGGUAUCGAAGAAAACGAACGACUGUACAAUAGAGUCAGAGAGCUGGAAGAAAGGGGUGGCCUUCCCGGAUCGCGAGAACGAGGUAGAAGCUUCGAUUCUCUUAGCGAUCUGACCAACAUCGAUUUGGACAUGGAUCUCAAUAUGUUGGACAAGGAGAGGGUCGUAGAAGAGUACGAAGAGUUGAGAGUUCGAUUCGAGAAGGCCAUAUCCGAGAUACGUGCGAUGCGUAAAGAAUUGCGCGAAGCCCACUCGACGCAGGAUGCAUUGGAAUUGGAGAUUUUUGCUUAUAAGCAGGAUGCCAUCGGUGUUAGCGAAACGAAUCAAGCGCAGGUACAAUUGAUGGCAGCUCGUAUUCAGGAUUUGACCAACAAGCUCGCCGCCAGCGAGAAACAAGUUAGAACGCUUAAGCAGAAAUUGACGAAGGCGGAAACCAGGGACAAGAGGAGAUCGCUCUCCUUGAAGGGAAGGGAAUCUUUUCAGAUAUCUCAGGAAAUGGAGGAUAAGCUUUGCGACUUGGAGAAUAAGAUUUGCGCUAUAGAACGCGGUGGUAAGGGCUGCGGCGUUGGUUCGAAUUCGAAGGAGUCGAGUCCGAAUUCGAAGAAGGAGAAGAAGAAGGAGGGGAAACAUUUGGAUCGCGCUAGAUUGCGCAGAAAGUCGUUGGACAGUGCCACCAGUUCGGAACCUAUGAAGGUGUUGAUCAGAUUGAGCACGUUGGAGACCAAAGUCGCGAGCGUGGCCGAAAAUAUGGCGAGCGACGUCGAGAAAGACUCCAGCGAAUGCAGCGAGGUCAGCGCGACUUCCGUUGGCAACGAGAUCCCCUUGGAAUUUCUCUCGAGAUUGAAGAAAUUGGAGAGAGCCGUGUGGAAGUCGAAGCGACGAUUGGAAAAGUGUUUGGGCUCGACCCAAACUGAGGACAAGGCGGAGAAGUGCUUGCGCGAGGUCAACGACAUAUUGGACUCGUGCUUAGAGUGUAAGAAGGGCCAAGUCGGUGGUGGUCAAAUCGGCGAGUCGAUAGGAGUAGUGGUAUGUAGACUAGAGGCUAUACUUAAGGAUAAAUUAAGCGAACUCACGAAGAGACGGCAGACGCUCGCGUCGAACGACCGGUUGGACGACAGGGAGAAAGUAAAGUUGAUCGCCGAAAGGAUAGCCUUCGAAUCCGUGAUUCUUGGACGAUUGAAGCGGGCGAUCGGCGGUGGUACCUUAGGCGACAAGAGCGCCGUUCUCGGUGAAUUGCUCGAAACUAGUCAGCUUGCCUCAAGCUUAAAGCAUAAGAUUCAUGGAACCAAGCCCAAAACGUACCAAAACACGAAUUACGUUCAGUAUCUUUCUAGGGUCUUAGCUAAUAAGUUAGUGCUCGUAGGAGGCGUUCUCCCUGUUAAAACGGAGGCGUCGCUUCAACUUUGCAACGCUCGAGCCGAGUGCUUGAACUUUUUGUUGCAAAAGCAAAAGGAAGUCGACGGUAUCGUCGGACGUUACAAGGAAACGAAAUUGAGAGAGCUGGCGGAGGCCUUGGCGAUCGAGACGCUUAAUCUCUCGGAUCAGGAGGAUCAUCAUCUCGCCAAGCAAAUAAACGUGUCGAGCAAGAAAUUGCUCGAGGAUAAGCGUAUUCGCGAGGCUUGGGCUCUUGCCCAGGAGACCGUCAAUAAGGAGCUCGUGCAAAGCGAGGUGUCGCGCGUUAUAUUGCACUGCGCGCAGAUCUACGAACAGGAUAUCGCGUCCGUCCUUGACACUUGUCUAAGCUUCAACGAGGCUGGAUCCGUAGGUUUGGAGAAUUGGGCGGACGAAACGCGAACGAAAUUACGCAAAGAGAUUCAAUUGUCCGUAGAGGAACUCUCGGAGGUUUACGAGGAUACUCUUCGUACGAUGAAGCGUAACAAGGGCCUCGUAAGUACCAUCUCGGAAUACGAUUCUCAUAGACUUUUGACGGAUUACGCCGACGUGAUCGCGCACAAAGCUUUAAUAGAUGCCAGAAUAGCUCUUCUCCAGAAGAGCACGAAACCGUCGACCUCUUUCAACAACAACAACAACGGUCAAAGCGGUCAGAAUUUUCUAUCUAGUCUUAUUAAAAACGAGGACCUUCUCUAUCACUUGACCGAGGAUAACAACUCUGGUAAAUUCGAUAACGAUCUCGUUCUCGAGGCAGAGUGCAAUUAUCUUUAUCGACAGUUUGCCGAGGAAUGCGAGGAUAGGAUAUCCGGUAGGCAGGAGUCGAAGGAACGAAUUAAAACGAUAGGACAAAAUUUAUUAUAUCUCGAGGAGGACAUAAGCGGACUCGCCAAAGUUAUAAAAGAAAGGGCGGUGGGAGGAGAAAAGGCGGCUAAGACGAUCUGUCAGUUUGAACGUUCGAGCAACGGACUCGCGGAUUGGACGAACGUUUGCGAAAAGUGUUCGCAAUUAAGAGAGCAAAUCAAAAGACUCGCCGCUUACGUCGAUCUUAUGUCCUGCAAACAGUGCGAGGAACUGCAGGAGACCAUAGAGAGGCUAACGGCUCAACACGAGGAAGAGCUGGAAACGCUCAAGAGAAAUCAGGAGAAGGAUAUAAUGGACAUAAAGGGUGAACUCGACAGUCAAAGGCAAUCCCUUACGACGCAGUACGAGCAAGAAGCGGCUAGUCUGCGAGAAAGGGCGAGAAAAUUGGAGUACAGAUUGAACGCAAUGGAUUCCGAACAUUCUGCUCACGUCAACGAGCUACGUGCCGUUUAUCAGAGAUCCAUAAGCGCCGAACUCGAUACCGAUGCCGAGACGAGAAAAAGAUACAAGGAGGAGAUCAAACAGCUCAGGGCACUUUGCGAAAAAGGAUUGUUGGCCAUGGAGAAUUCACACCGACGUAUUAUUUCAGAAAUGGAGGAAAAGCAUCGGCAGGAAUUGGAAAAUUUGAGAGUCGAGAAGGAGCAAGCACUCUCGGAAGAGACCCAAGCGACUUUGGCCGCAUUAGAUGCCAUGAGAAAGGCGCACGAGCACGAGGUACAAAAGGAGAUUGCCAAGUUCAAGCAGGAAUUCAUCAAGCAGAUGCAAGCUCGAGAGGAUAUCGGUGAACUGCAUAAAGAACACGAGGAAGAAAUGGAGGAAAUAAAGCAAGAAAUUCUUUCAUUGUCUGCCAAAUAUUCAUCGAAAUGCGUCGAGUCUGCCGCUUUGGAGGAAAAAGUAGGUACUCUUACGAAGCAACUUGCACAAGCGCAACAGCAUAUAAUGCAGCUAGACGCUAGGAACAAGCAGCUGAGGGCGCACUUUCUGGUGGAAUGUAGCGACGCUGGUAUCAAUGAUACUAUUCAGAUUUUAAAAAGCGGAGAGAAUGACACAGUCGAACCGAAGGAGGAACUUUACAAGCUACCACAGCACAUAAAACAUGGGGACACCCUUCGUGAAACGACCGGUGUACCACAGAAAUCUUCGUCACUAAACACCUCGCCAGCGUACUCACCGCAACGUGUAAGAAAUAAUCACGAGUCGAUGCAAGGAACGAGCGAGGAGCAGAAAUUAACGAGCGAACGCCCAAAAAGCUCCUUAUCCACGCUUCAAAAGUCCCUUUCGGCGGAUAAACCGAGCAGCUUCUCGUACAAGCUCGAACGAAUUAAAUCCAUAUCGUUGCCUUACUCGAAUAAUUUAGUUAGGCCGGGGAGUAGUACUGCUAUUUCAUCGCACGAUAGGAAAAAUACGAUCUUAACUCAAAAGAACGAAGAACAUAAUGGUAUAGCAUCGCCAUUAUGGGACAGCUUAAGACCAAGGAGCGGAUUGCCCCAUCAGUAUCAAGAAAUCGAAGUUGUAUCUCUAUGUCCAUGUAUACGCUUCUACGUGGAAUCGUAGCUCUUACUUGGCCAAUCUUUAACCGUUCGAGUGACGCUUAUAUCGGAAUAUAAUACAGGGGAUAUAGUAGGGGAUAGAAUUAAUUGUGAUGUUUGACGUAAAAUAGAACGGAGAACGCAUUUUGACGUAGAAAUACAGGUACGAUUCCCUGCAUUAUCCUGGACACGAUAAGAAUGUGGAAAUAAUUGUAUGUAAUAUUUAAUCCAGCAGUUGGUACGAUUAAUAAGGUAUCCGAGCAUAUAACUGAUAUCCCUUGGAAAGGUGGCACAGCAGAGAUGCGAAUCAACGGUACUGGCAGUCGGAAACAGGCGGACAAACAAAGUGAAAAACAGCAACAAUCGGAGACAUAUACCCUCCGUACCGACACUCGUCACCCAUCCUACCUCAGCCCGGAACCCCCAG